rnacentral:rRNA from 1 species
ACGAACGCUGGCGGCGUGCCUAAUACAUGCAAGUCGAGCGGAAUGAUGAAGAAGCUUGCUUCUUCUGAUUUUAGCGGCGGACGGGUGAGUUAACACGUGGGCAACCUACCUUGUAGAUUGGGAUAACUCCGGGAAACCGGGGCUAAUACCGAAUAAUCCAUUUUGCUUCAUGGCGAGAUGUUGAAAGACGGUUUCGGCUGUCACUACAAGAUGGGCCCGCGGCGCAUUAGCUAGUUGGUAGGGUAAUGGCCUACCAAGGCGACGAUGCGUAGCCGACCUGAGAGGGUGAUCGGCCACACUGGGACUGAGACACGGCCCAGACUCCUACGGGAGGCAGCAGUAGGGAAUCUUCCACAAUGGACGAAAGUCUGAUGGAGCAACGCCGCGUGAGUGAAGAAGGUUUUCGGAUCGUAAAACUCUGUUGUAAGGGAAGAACACGUACGAGAGUAACUGCUCGUACCUUGACGGUACCUUAUUAGAAAGCCACGGCUAACUACGUG